rnacentral:lncRNA from 1 species
GACGAGGUCAAGACCAAGGGCAAGGCCGCCAUUGACGUGAUCUGCAACCCGCUGGGCAAGUCCGGCGGUGCCCUGAUCCAGCAGUUCAUGAUCAUCGGCCUGGGCUCGCUGGCCGCCUCGACCCCGUACCUGGGCGCCAUCCUGUGCGUCAUCAUCGUGGCCUGGAUCAACGCCGCCGCCUCGCUGAACAAGCAGUUCACGGCGCUGCAGGAGGAGACCGGCAUGUACAUCACCGGCGAGAAGCCCGCCAACAAGUCCGAGAAGAAGGACUAAGCGGCUCGGCCCUGACCGUGGUAGAGGGUCAGCCGUGACCAGACGCCCUGACGGGUCGGCCUGGGUGGUGGUGGUGUGUAGACGAGAGAGGUGAGAGAUCAGACGGCCUCGGCGGAGCUCGUGAAGAUUGGCCAUUGACGCAUUCAGUUGGUGCUGGAGACUCAUGACGAAGACACGGACUCAGGAGGACUGGUGGGCGCACUGCGGUCGGCACCCGGCGACGGCCUGUCUUGAGGAGUCGAGGGCGCGCGAUGGAGCAGCUGCAGCAGCGGGACGUAGUAGGGCACGUGCAUGCGCGACGCCGCGUGCGCGGUUUUAAGCUCUUGACUUGCGAGGGAGGGUGUGCUCUUGUUUUCCAUGGCCGGCGGG